GUUCCUCUCUGACAGAUGUGAAUUAUAACUUGCUCAAGUAGAAUUAAAUAACACUUGACUGUGAACUGCACCGCACUUUUGCUCAUCUUCUCGUCAUCUAGUGGACAAAAGACAAAAGCAAUGUGAGUUUUUGAAGGCUUUUCGGGGAGUUUUUAGGACAACGUAAUGAAAACAUGUUACUACAUUGCAGCUUAGAAGUAAAAUGCAUGAACUAAUGUUGUAACCUGACUCUCAGACAGGAUGCUUCUAAGGUGGCAAAAAUGCAGAUUUAUUGAUUUUUUUUAACUGCAUGAGUUAUUUUAGAGAAAAUUUACUAGGCAACACAACACAGAGCACUCAAAUAUAUUUAUUAUUUGUUUCAAUAAUAAAGCAAACAGUGAAUGAAUAAAGAGCUUCCUUGCUGAACUUACACAUAAGCUUCAUUUCUCUGACUCAUAUAAAGGUAUUAGUCAACAUGGAAUUGAUAACAUGUUGCAGAACAGCUAAGUUAUGUCAGGACAAAACUCACCUUCAUUAAACAGGAAAUUCAGACCUUAAACUUGACAUAGCUGGCUAAGACAUUAAUCCUAGUUAAUAGUACACCCCUCUAGUCUUGUAUGACAUCAGUGCACAUUGCAAAAGCUUCAUUUCUACUCUAUGGCCAUUUAAGGGAACAAAUAGGAACCACAUGAGCAUAGUCUGACAAAUUUGACUGCAAACAAAGGAAAUGCAGUUAUUUCCUACAACUACUUUUUCUUCUGCUAACAACAUCCGUUCAUCAUUUUCUAUGUCUGCCUGCCUAUGAUUUUAGACAUAUUUGUUCAGGCAUUAAUUAUUAAUGCACAAAAUUUUAAAAUUAAAAAACACACAGACAACUAAAUGAUAACCAAAAAUUGUACCUUGUAAUUAAUUAAGCCCACAAAGUCCAAAACAUCUGGAAAGCUUUAAGAUGUAACUAAAAACCAUGCAAUGAUUAGCAGAUCAUGCAGACACAGAAAACUUUGAUCUCAGACAUUUUACUAUUUCAUAGAAAAUGUUCAAUUGUUUUGAAUAUGCAACUAAACGGGUUUGUUAACAACAGCUCAGUAACAUGAUUGGAACAUCUUAGUUAGUCAGAAUUUUGCCAAAGGAAAGAUGGGCAGAGGUUCAUCGAUCUGCAUUAAACUGCAGAAUCAUGCUCCUCAGUGUAAAAUUGCAACAACCUUAAAUAUCUGAUCUAGAGCACAUAAUUACAGCCUGAGGUGUGUGGAGGAGAUGCCAGGAGAUGAGCCACUACAGGAGGACAGAACCAUAGAAUGGCAUCAAUCCAACAACUGGAUUAGUUAAUAUUUGGAACUAAAACAUAAAUGCAAUUACUGCCCAAUGAAAUUCUAGAUAAAUUUGGUUUGUUUAUAGAAGACAAACCACACUGUCAGUUUGACUUGCAAAUAUGCAGAAACAUAAUGCUUUACCAAACCGCAUCUGUAUAGUGUUCUGGUCAUUUGUUCUCACAUUUGCAUUGUGUUUAUCAACCACAAACAGAUGGGUUGAAAAUUCUUAGAACUUACAUUAGUGACGUAAGAGGGUGUCAAUGCAAAUUCACAUUGUAAUAUUAGGUGAUAGUCAAACAUAUAAAAACUGAAGCACUCAGAGACAAGUAUGAUUCUGUGACAGAAGUGAACUAUACACUGCUUCGUGUCUGAGCUACACUAGACGUGACCUCUGCUCAUCUCAAGUCUUCACUCCACAUUUGCUUCAGUGAAUUUCAUUUAGUGAAGACAUCUGCUCCACCUGGUGUUCCAGACAACCAGCUCGUGCCUGAACCGCUGCAGGUUAACUAACCAACCUCUCCCCAGUAAAGCAAACAAUAAGGAAAUAAUGAGGAUCCUGUUUGCCUGUUUGAUGCUUGUGCUGCUCAUUGCCACUACACCUUCAAAAGCAACCAAAGGUUCAAAACAAAACAAAAAGAAAGCUGAACCACAACCAGAAGAGGAGACUAAACGUCUUUACGAACUGUUUAAAACACAGCACAUAAAUGACAGGAUGACUGAGGACCAGUGUGAUAGUGAAAUAUUGACUAGGAAUAUCUUAGACAAGAAUAAACAAUGUAAGGAGAAGAAUACGUUCAUUCUUAGCGAUAGCGAAACAGUCAAAUCUAUUUGUAAUAAUAGGC